rnacentral:rRNA from 1 species
GAUGAACGCUGGCGGCGUGCCUAAUACAUGCAAGUCGAGCGAAUGGAUUGAGAGCUUGCUCUUAUGAAGUUAGCGGCGGACGGGUGAGUAACACGUGGGUAACCUGCCCAUAAGACUGGGAUAACUCCGGGAAACCGGGGCUAAUACCGGAUAACAUUUUGAACCGCAUGGUUCGAAAUUGAAAGGCGGCUUCGGCUGUCACUUAUGGAUGGACCCGGGUCGCAUUAGCUAGUUGGUGAGGUAACGGCUCACCAAGGCAACGAUGCGUAGCCGACCUGAGAGGGUGAUCGGCCACACUGGGACUGAGACACGGCCCAGACUCCUACGGGAGGCAGCAGUAGGGAAUCUUCCGCAAUGGACGAAAGUCUGACGGAGCAACGCCGCGUGAGUGAUGAAGGCUUUCGGGUCGUAAAACUCUGUUGUUAGGGAAGAACAAGUGCUAGUUGAAUAAGCUGGCACCUUGACGGUACCUAACCAGAAAGCCACGGCUAACUACGUGCCAGCCGCCGCGGUAACAC